GAUGAACGCUGGCGGCGUGCCUAAUACAUGCAAGUCGAGCGAACAGACGAGGAGCUUGCUCCUCUGACGUUAGCGGCGGACGGGUGAGUAACACGUGGAUAACCUACCUAUAAGACUGGGAUAACUUCGGGAAACCGGAGCUAAUACCGGAUAAUAUAUUGAACCGCAUGGUUCAAUAGUGAAAGACGGUUUUGCUGUCACUUAUAGAUGGAUCCGCGCUGCAUUAGCUAGUUGGUAAGGUAACGGCUUACCAAGGCAACGAUGCGUAGCCGACCUGAGAGGUUGAUCGGCCACACCGGAACUGAGACACCGUCCAGACUCCUAAGGAAGGCAGCAGUAGGGAAUCUUCCGAAGUGGGGGAAAGCUUGACGGAGCAACGCCGCGUGAGUGAUGAAGGUCUUCGGAUCGUAAAACUCUGUUAUUAGGGAAGAACAAAUGUGUAAGUAACUAUGCACGUCUUGACGGUACCUAAUCAGAAAGCCACGGCUAACUACGU
rnacentral:rRNA from 1 species